GAUCCUGGCUCAGGAUGAACGCUAGCUACAGGCUUAACACAUGCAAGUCGAGGGGAAACGAUAUUGGAAGCUUGCUUCCGAUAGGCGUCGACCGGCGCACGGGUGAGUAACGCGUAUCCAACCUGCCCACCACCUUGGGGAUAACCUUGCGAAAGUAAGACUAAUACCCAAUGAUAUCUCUAGAAGACAUCUGAAAGAGAUUUAAAGAUUCAAUCGGUGAUGGACGGGGAUGCGUCUGAUUAG
rnacentral:rRNA from 1 species